GAUGAACGCUGGCGGCGUGCCUAAUACAUGCAAGUCGAGCGAACGGACGAGAAGCUUGCUUCUCUGAUGUUAGCGGCGGACGGGUGAGUAACACGUGGAUAACCUACCUAUAAGACUGGGAUAACUUCGGGAAACCGGAGCUAAUACCGGAUAAUAUUUUGAACCGCAUGGUUCAAAAGUGAAAGACGGUCUUGCUGUCACUUAUAGCUGGAUCCGCGCUGCAUUAGCUAGUUGGUAAGGUAACGGCUUACCAAGGCAACGAUGCAUAACCGACCUGAGAGGGUGGUCGGCCACACUGGAACGGAGACACGGUCCAGACGACUACGGGAGGCAGCAGUAGGGAAUCGUCCGCAAUGGGCGAAAGCCUGACGGAGCGACGCCGCGUGAGUGAUGAAAGUCUUCGGAUCGUAAAACUCUGUUAUUAGGGAAGAACAGAUGUGUAAGUAACUGUGCACAUCUUGACGGUACCUAAUCAGAAAGCCACGGCUAACUACGUG
rnacentral:rRNA from 1 species